CGCACUUUAAAAGGCAGGACUUCUUUUCAGAGCGGGCAGCGGAGUCCGUGGAAGCAGAGUCCUGGGCUUUGGCUAAGUGGGCUUCGGAGUAAGGGGACUUCGAUUCCACUACCUAGUUGUUACAGUCUUCCCUGUGACUACAAUAACCGGAAUCACUGAUAUAGGAGCAUCUUCAACACCAUCACACUGAGCACGGGGCUCAGUCCACUGCUGUUCACUCUGCUGAUCUACGACUGUGCUGCAACACACAGCUUGAACCACAUAAUCUAGUUUGCCGUUGACACGACCGUGGUGGGUCUCAUCAGCAAGAACGACAAGUCAGCAUACAGAGAGGAGGUGCAGCGGCUAACAAACCUGUCUCUGAAUGUGAACAAAACAAAAGAGAUGGUUGUUGACUUCAGGGGGGGCAUGGAGUGACCACUCUCCACUGAACAUCGACGGCUCCUUGGUAGAGAUCGUUAAGAGCACCAAAUUUCUUGGUGUUCACCUGGUGGAGAAUCUCACCUGGUCCCUUAACACCAGCUACAUAGCAAAGAAAGCCCAGCAGCGUCUCUACUUUCUGCAAAGACUGAGGAAAGUCCAUCUCCCAACCCCCCAUCCUCAUCACAUUCUACAGGGGUUGUAUUGAGAGCAUCCUGAGCAGCUGCGUCACUGCCUGGUUCAGAAAUUGCACCAUCUCGGAUUGCAAGACCCCGCAGCGGAUAGUGAGGUCAGCUGAGAAGAUCUUCAGGGUCUCUCUUCCCGCCAUCACGGACAUUUACACUACAUGCUGCAUCCGCAAAGCAAACAGCAUUAUGAAGGACCCCACGUACCCCUCAUACAAACUCUUCUCCCUCCUGCCAUCUGGGAAAAGGCACCAAAGCCUUCCAGCUUUCACGACCAGUCUAUUUAACAGUUUCUUCCCCCAAGCUAUCAGACUCCUGAAUAUCCAGAGCUUGGACUGGCACCUUACUGCCCUAUUGUCCUGUUUAUUGUUUAUUGUAAUGCCUGAACUGUUUUGUGCACUUUGUGCAGUCCUGGGUAGGUCUGUAGUCUAGUGUAGUUGUUUUUUUUCCCUUUUUUUUUAUGUAGUUCAGUCUUGUUUUUGUACUGUGUCAUGUAACACCAUAGUCCCGAAAAACGUUGUCUCAUUUUUACUAUGUACUGUACAUAGCAGUUAUGGUCGAAAUGACAAUAAAAGUAAUUUGACUUGAAUU